ncrna:unclassified sequences pemK RNA
AUAAUGAUACUCCUGUACGCAGCUUCGAGAGAUCCUCGAAGGGGUUAGAGUCCCGUGA